rnacentral:lncRNA from 10 species
AGCGGGACUCCUAAUUCUAACCUGGACCUCGGCUGGACGGCCUCCCCGCUUUUCCUCCUCCCCUAACCCUGGAAAAGGCGCGACGCACCACUCCUGCAGAAUGCCGCCGUGGGACCCACGCGUGGAGCCCGACCCUCGAGAGUACGUCCAGCCCCCAGCCCCGCUCGGUGCACAGUGUCCAGUCUCCGACAGACACCCCCACACCCUCUGACCAACACUUGGCGUCCGCGUCAGGGACAGCGCAGACGCACAGCCUGACGCACUAGCCACCCGCGCCCGCGGCCCCUCCCGACCUGGACCUCCCCUUCCACCCCGCCCUCCGCGCCAGCUUUCGGGCCAGCGCGGCCUGCUCCUGCCCUCUGGUGGCCGAAUCCAGAAUUGUCGGAUAGAGAUGGGGGAAGGAGGGAAGGCGAGAUCUGAUUCUUCACCCCUCACCCCUGCCCGGGCUGGUGACACUGAAGGCAAAGACUGGGACACCAAGGGUCCAGAACUGGCUCGUGCCCCACUCUGUGGUUUGUAUUCCCUCCUUGAGGUUUGUGUUUGUUCAAACCCCCGCUAGGUAGGGAAUCAGGACACUGUUCUGACCUCACCCCCAGUCAAACCUGCCUGAGGUUGUCCCAUCUCUGACCCAUAUCCUCCUCACUCGGACUCUACCGCCAUGCCCAGUUCUAGGGCCCUGUACUGUUGGCACCCAUCUUCACACACACUGCGAGCUCCAACAGUAACUCCUCACCAGGGAAAAGAGAGCCCAAGGGAUCCUCUGUCUGCCCCCAGCUCCUGCUCUCAGCAACCCAGAACUUCAGAGGUGGGAGAGCAAGCUGCCAAGACCCCCCCGCCAACUUCCAUUGGAGAAUUUUCUCUACACCCCUUUUCCCGUGGACAUUUGGCCCACGCCUGACCACCUUGUUCGUUCACUCGUUCAAGAAGUUUUAUUGAGUGCCUACUAUGCAUCCAGCACUGUGCUAGGUUUGAGGAUAACAACUGAGAACAAAACACAGUCCCUGCCCCUUCAAAUGGAGCUUACACUCUGGUAAGGGAGAUGCUGCUACACCCAUAAACACAAGAUGAAAAAGAUAACUUUACAGCGUGAUAAAUGCUAGAAAGAAAAAGGCUGAUGUGAUGGAUGGAAGGGUGCCUAGAACAGCAUCACUGAGGAGGUGACACAGGAGCCAGCCAUGCCACGAUCUUGUGACCAAGACACUCCAGGUAGCUGGAACAACAAAUGCAAAGGCUCUGAGAUGGGCUGAGUAUGGAACACUGGGAAGAAGGCUUAGAAGGCAGGCUGGUGUGGCAAGGCUUCUGGGAGCUGGGGUGUCCGCAGCUGGCCUGUGAGCACUUUUUGGCACGGGAGCUUCAAUGGACAGCGGCGGAGCACAGGCUUUGGCUUCCAAAGGUCUGAGCUCGAUUCUUGCUCUGAAACUGGCUAGCCAUGUGAGUUUGGACAAGGCCCUGCACCUCUUUGACCCUCCGCUUCCAUAACCGUACACACAAACCUAACUCGCUGGACUGUUGUGAGGACCCAUAAGGGAAGCAUGUGACUCAUGGAAGCAACAAAAUAUUAGCUCCCUUCUCACUCGCCCCUCUCACCUCUGCUGGAAUAUCCCCACCCGCACCCACCACCAUUAAGGAAAACCUACAAUUUUGCAAGAAGCCUUUGUGUCUCAUUUGCUGUGGUUAGAAAAUUCCACUGCAAGUGGUGAGGAAAUUUCCUACCUGGAG